UGGGCAACCUGCCCCAGACACAGGGAUAACCCCGGGAAACCGGGGCUAAUACCGGAUACUCCGGUCGAACCGCAUGGCUCGAUCGGGAAAGCUCCGACGGUCUGGGAUGGGCCUGCGGCCUAUCAGCUUGUUGGUGGGAUAACGGCCUACCAAGGCGACGACGGGUAGCCGGCCUGAGAGGGCGACCGGCCACACUGGGACUGAGACACGGCCCAGACUCCGUACGGGA
rnacentral:rRNA from 1 species